CCAAGCAGCUGUGGCCAAGAGACGCAGAAACUGCCUUGUCCACGGGCCCCGCCUCAGACUCCAACACUCACAAAAGAGCAGAGGAGCCCCAAGUCUUGGGGACCACAGAAGAUGCCAUGUGCUCCACGAUGUCGGCCCCCACCUGCCUGGCCCACUUGCCUCCCUGCUUCCUGCUGCUGGCACUGGUCCUUGUCCCCUCAGAUGCCUCUGGGCAGAGCAGCAGGAAUGACUGGCAGGUGCUACAGCCCGAGGGCCCCAUGCUGGUGGCAGAAGGCGAGACACUUCUACUGAGGUGUAUGGUGGUCGGCUCCUGCACUGAUGGUAUGAUAAAAUGGGUGAAGGUGAGCACUCAGGACCAACAGGAAAUUUAUAACUUUAAACGUGGCUCCUUCCCUGGGGUAAUGCCCAUGAUCCAACGGACAUCAGAACCACUGAAUUGCGAUUAUUCCAUCUAUAUCCACAAUGUCACCAAGGAGCACACUGGAACCUACCACUGUGUGAGGUUUGAUGGUUUGAGUGAACACUCAGAAAUGAAAUCGGAUGAAGGCACCUCAGUGCUUGUGAAGGGAGCUGGGGACCCUGAACCAGACCUGUGGAUCAUCCAGCCCCAGGAAUUGGUGUUGGGGACCACUGGAGACACUGUCUUUCUGAACUGCACAGUGCUUGGAGAUGGUCCCCCCGGACCCAUCAGGUGGUUCCAGGGAGCUGGUCUGAGCCGGGAGGCCAUUUACAACUUUGGAGGCAUCUCCCACCCCAAGGCGACAGCGGUGCAGGCCUCCAACAAUGACUUCAGCAUUCUUCUGCAAAACGUCUCCAGUGAGGAUGCAGGCACCUAUUACUGUGUAAAGUUUCAGAGGAAACCCAACAGGCAAUACCUGUCUGGACAGGGCACCAGGCUGAAAGUGAAAGCAAAAUCUACCUCUUCCAAAGAGGCAGAAUUCACCAGUGAACCUGCAACUGAGAUGUCUCCAACAGGUUUGCAGUGAUCUGUUACAGCGGCCACGGGAAGCUGAAACAGCAGGAAAGCAUGGAGGUGGUUCUCCACUAACUGGAGGUGGGUCCCACCUGCCCCUGCAAGCCCCCUAGCCCUGUAGGGCCCUGCAUGAGCUGGUCCCUGCCGCCCCCUCUGACCUCAUCUCCCCAGAUCCUGUAAGCUGACUCUGCUCCAGCACCCCUCUGGGCUUUGACCACACAAAGCUCCCUGAUUCAUUCAAGUCUCUGCUUAACUCUUACCUUCAAGAGGCCUCUCUGGACCACUCUAUCCAAAAAAGCACCUCCAUCACUCUCAUUCCUGCUUGCCACUUAAGUUUUCUUCAUAGUAGUUACUGCUACCUGAAAACGUGUGUGUGGUGUGUGUGUGUGAGCGCGCAUGCAUGUGUGUGUGCACCUAUGUGGGUGUGUGUGCAUGUGUGCAUGUGUGUGUCUGUGCCUGUGUGUGCCUGCAUGUGCACGUGUGUGUGCGUGUCUGUGUGUGCGUGUGUGUUUGUGUGUCUGCUUCCUUGAUGGUUGUUAGUUGUCCCCACUAGAAUUUGAGCUCCCUGGGGACAGGAACCUAAUGGUCCACUAUUGUAGCCACCCUCAUUCAAUCCUGAAACGUGGUUGAAAGCUGACUCUGUGUCAGGCCCUAAUCAGUGUGCUGAGAAUGAAACAGAAGUCUGCUCUCUCAGAGCUUACCUCCUCCUGAGAGAAGACAGACAAUGAGCAAGUAACCCGAGGUGAGUAACAGGCCCCACUAUACUGAGUGCUGAGGGCCUUCACAACGCAGGAGGAGGGGGAAGGAAGUUGCCAGAGCAAAGGGGAAGUGACACUAUUUUAUGCAGGGUGGACAGAAGAGGCCUCCUGAUAAAGUGACAUUUGAGCAGACACCUGAAGGAGGUGAGGAAGAGAGCCCUGCAGAUACCCAGGGGAAGAGCUGAAAAGUACAAGGAACAGCGAAUGCAAAGGUCCUGAGGCAGGAGCGUGCUUGACUUGGCACAAGAACAGCAAACACCAAGCAGAAUGCCUGGCCUGUAUUAGACCCCGUAAACGCCUGAACUACAUACAUGGCAGAGAUGAAGCACACAGUCUUCAUCUGACUGUGCAGGUUUGAAUUUGAAUCUGGCUGUGCAGGUUCAAAUUCCAGUUCUCCUACUUAUCUCUUGGGUGAGUUUGUUUCUCUCAGUUUCCUUGUCUAUAAACUGGUAAUAACAUGCGUGCCUCCCUUAUUAGGUAGUUUUGAGGCUAAAAUGCAUUGGUAUAUGUGCAGCACCUGGCACAUAAGAAGCCCUAAAUAAUUAUUAUAGUUACAUUAUUUCAUUAGGCUACUGUUAUGCAAUUCUAACUAUAAACUGUAGUCACUAUCCUCCCCAUGACAAGGAGCAUGGCAGCCUACAGUGCCUGGGCCCCUUAUCGGGCAACUUCAGAUGCCAGAUGACCCUACUCACCACAGACUCAGUUGGAAAAUCCUAUAGAAACUUGGCCCUGCUUGGGUCCAAGGACUUAUAGGGACAUGGCAGGGGAGCAAGGUGGAGGCAAGUCCACUAAAGAAGACAAAUAUAACAAAAGAUGAACAAUUUAAGGCCCUUCUUAGGGACUCUAGGAAACCUGCUGACCACAGAUAGAAAGGGUGGGGAAUGGAUGGGAGACAGAACUCCUCAGCCCAGCCCUUCUGCUGCUUUGGGGCCCCAGGCAUUGCACAGGUGAGAUGACCCACCAAAGACAGAGCAGGGGGCAUGCCACAGCCCCCACUAAGGGCCAACAGGCCACUAUUACAUGUCCUGCCUGGGCCUUCAGAUCUGAUGCCUGGAUGUCAGUGGCUACACUCCAAGAUCCCUGAAUCAGGGCAUCUGUUUCUCUCCCUCCCCUUCUGUUUUCUCCUUCCUGCAGCUCUUCUUUAGCUCUUUCCUUCCCUUCCCAUGGUUCUUGUCCCAUGCUCUUCCUGCCCCAAGGAACCCCCAUCAAGGCUGCCAAAGUCCCAGACUCUGUGACUGCUCCCUGUGAGAGACGGGCCUAUUCACGCCACUCUCCUCGGGCUCGAGGACCCUCCAUCUCCCGCUGCAGGGAAGUGCGGGCAUCUUCAGUUCUUGUCUGCUUGGAAGAAAGAUUUCAGCCAGGAGACACACAGCAAAGGUGAAGUAGCAGAGUUUAUUGAAGAAAGAUAAAGUACGUUCCUAGAAAGGAGUGGGCUGACCUGGCUGGAAAAGAGCAUCAGGCAAAAAACAGCAGUAGCAGUGUUUAUUUAAAGAGACAGUACACUCUGAAAGAACGAGCCAGCAGCAGCUGGUGCCGGGAGACCCUCUUUAUGAGAAUCUUACAUGAUUAUUCGUGAAGGGGCAUGAGGGAGUGUCACUUACAAUCAUGUUUUAGGUGGUCCCCUUGGCUGUGAAUGUUCUGUGUUUGUACGCGCUAGUAAACACAUUGCCUGUCUCAUUAGCAUUUAAAAUC